rnacentral:rRNA from 1 species
GACGAACGCUGGCGGCGUGCCUAAUACAUGCAAGUAGAACGCACAGUUUAUACUGUAGCUUGCUACACCAUAGACUGUGAGUUGCGAACGGGUGAGUAACGCGUAGGUAACCUGCCUGGUAUCGGGGGAUAACUAUUGGAAACGUUACCUAUUACCUCUUAAUAUUCAUUAUUCCAUGAUAAUUAAUUGAAAGUUGCAAUUGCACCACUACCAGAUGGACCUGCGUUGUAUUAGCUAGUAGGUGAGGUAACGGCUCACCUAGGCGACGAUACAUAUCCGACCUGAGAGGGGGAUCGGCCAAACUGGGACUGGAGCAAGGCCCAGACUCCUACGGGAGGGAGCAGUAGGGAAUCUUCGGCAAUAGACGAAAGGCUGAACGAGCAACGCCGCGUGAGGGAAGAAGGUUUUCGGAUCGUAAAGCUCUGUUGUAAGAGAAGAACGGGAGGGAGAGUGAAAAGUGCACACUGUGACGGUAUCUUACCAGAAAGGGACGGCUAACUACGUG